GCAGUAGCCGCGGGAAUACGAAGGGUGCAAGCGUUAAUCGGAAUUACUGGGCGUAAAGCGUGCGUAGGUGGUGGUUUAAGUCCGUUGUGAAAGCCCUGGGCUCAACCUGGGAAUUGCAGUGGAUACUGGGUCACUAGAGUGUGGUAGAGGAUAGUGGAAUUUCCGGUGUAGCAGUGAAAUGCGUAGAGAUCGGAAGGAACAUCUGUGGCGAAGGCGACUAUCUGGGCCAAUACUGACGCUCAUGCACGAAAGCGUGGGGAGCAAACAGGAUUAGAUACCCCAGUAGUCCCUGUCUCUUAUAC
rnacentral:rRNA from 1 species